rnacentral:rRNA from 1 species
UACGGAGGGUGCAAGCGUUAUCCGGAUUCACUGGGUUUAAAGGGUGCGUAGGUGGGCAGGUAAGUCAGUGGGGAAAUCUCCGGGCUUAACCCGGAAACUGCCAUUGAUACUAUUUGUCUUGAAUACCGUGGAGGUCAGCGGAAUAUGUCAUGUAGCGGUGAAAUGCUUAGAUAUGACAUAGAACACCAAUUGCGAAGGCAGCUGGCUACACGAAUAUUGACACUGAUGCACGAAAGCGUGGGGAUCAAACAGG